rnacentral:rRNA from 1 species
UACAGAGGGUGCAAGCGUUAAUCGGAAUUACUGGGCGUAAAGCGCACGUAGGCGGCUUUGUAAGUUAGAGGUGAAAGCCCAGGGCUUAACCCUGGAAUUGCCUUUAAGACUGCAUCGCUAGAAUCGUGGAGAGGUGAGUGGAAUUCCGAGUGUAGAGGUGAAAUUCGUAGAUAUUCGGAAGAACACCAGUGGCGAAGGCGACUCACUGGACACGUAUUGACGCUGAGGUGCGAAAGCGUGGGGAGCAAACAGG